rnacentral:rRNA from 1 species
UCUGACUNGAGUGCAGAAGGGGAGAGUGGANUUCCAUGUGUAGCGGUGAAAUGCGUAGAUAUAUGGAGGAACACCAGUGGCGAAAGCGGCUCUCUGGUCUGUCACUGACGCUGAGGCUCGAAAGCGUGGGUAGCGAACAGGAUUAGAUACCCUGGUAGUNCACGCCGUAAACGAUGAGUGCUAGGUGUUAGGCCCUUUCCGGGGCUUAGUGCCGGAGCUAACGCAAUAAGCACUCCGCCUGGGGAGUACGACCGCAAGGUUGAAACUCAAAGGAAUUGACGGGGGCCCGCACAAGCGGUGGAGCAUGUGGUUUAAUUCGAAGCAACGCGAAGAACCUUACCAGGUCUUGACAUCCCGAUGCUAUUCUUAGAGAUAGGAAGUUACUUCGGUACAUCGGAGACAGGUGGUGCAUGGUUGUCGUCAGCUCGUGUCGUGAGAUGUUGGGUUAANNNCCGCAACGAGCGCAACCCUUAUUGUUAGUUGCCAUCAUUAAGUUGGGCACUCUAGCGAGACUGCCGGUAAUAAACCGGAGGAAGGUGGGGAUGACGUCAAAUCAUCAUGCCCCUUAUGACCUGGGCUACACACGUGCUACAAUGGUCGGUACAACGAGUUGCGAGCCGGUGACGGCAAGCUAAUCUCUGAAAGCCGAUCUCAGUUCGGAUUGGAGGCUGCAACUCGCCUCCAUGAAGUCGGAAUCGCUAGUAAUCGCGGAUCAGCACGUCGCGGUGAAUACGUUCCCGGGCCUUGU